UGGCCUCAGGCAAUCCUCCCACCUCAGCCUCGCAGGAAUGUCCCUACCUCCAACGACACAGGGACACAGGGAAGAAAGAAUCAGAACAAACAGGCCUUGCCGAGUUCCCCCCAUUUAAUUACUGCUGGAUCAUACCUGCUUUGUGCACUCAUACCUCUGAACAACUCUACUCACCAUCAAACCUAAGCAUAAAAAAUACACAGGUUUCCCUGUGUCUUUAGGUCUUUACUUCUUUAUGAAGGUUCUCAUGCCACAUAAAACCGCCUUUCUCCUGUUCAUCUGUGUUUUGUUACAGGGGCUUCAGCCGUGAGCCUGAGAUGAGAAUGAAAAACACUUUUUCUCCCCUGCAACCCCUCAACCCUUGCACAUCCUCUGUGGUUUGCGUCCUGGUUAUAGCUCCCUUCCUAAGGCAGGGACUGUGUUCCUUCACAUUCUGUAAUCACUGACUUUUAUCCUUCCUGUUUACCUGCUAUUGUUGAAAAAGCACUGGACGCAAAGUUAGAAAAGCUCGUUUCAAGUGUCACUUCUGUCGGUCUUCAGCUAAACCGCUGGGUAAAUUGCCGAGCAGUCAGAAUCAUUGGCAUUGCAGAGGAUUCACUGUGGCCCAGCGCAUUCGUCUUGAUAACCCCCUACGGGAUAAGUACAAACAUCAUCUUCACUUCCACCAGCACAGGAGCAGAGGCUUAGUGAAGUGCCCUACCUUCCCCAAGGUCACACAGUGAAUCGCUGGCAGUGCAGGGACUUGAACCUCCGCCACCCACUUCUACAACAGUGCCUGGUACGUGUUAGUGCUCAGCGGAUUCGUUUUGACGGCUUGUUAGCUUAAUACCAAGCUGUGUGCGUUAGCCUUUCCAUCUCAGAUGAUAGAAGUUAUAGUAAUACUUAUCAUCGGGGUUUCGUGGAGAAUCAAUGCAAUCCUGCACAUAGAUGGCCUUUGAAACUGGGAAAGCACCAUAGAAAAGUCAACCAUUGUCAUCAUUUUUCCUCACCCCUGCCUCCCUUUGCCUGAGGCUGAUCAAGGGACUGCAAGAGAGGGCAGAUAAAGAGUGUGAGGUGACGCAGUUCUGAGUUCUAGUCUGCUGUGACCUCCCUAACACUGUUUCCUUGCCUGCACGAGGAGGGCAUGGAGUGAAGCGUGUGCAGCGUCUGGCACGGCCGUGAUUGUACAAGCGAGGAACCAUGACUCCUCUCCGGGCACUGACACCAGGAGCCGGUCUCCAGCCCUCCGUGCUGACAGAUGGGUCAAGUUGGCCUCCUUCCCAAGCACUGGUUUGGAUUCUUUCAGCUUCUACUUUUUCAGUUGGAUCUCAUUUAAUUGUUGUCAUUUCAUGCGUUCACCUCGAGGCCCUGGGCAACUUACACACCUUAAACACAUCAGGCAUAAAGCAUACAAAAAUAAAUUCCGCUUCAAUCUUUCCACAUGGUGGAAAACUGGCCACUUAUAUUAAUAAUAGAACCCUGAUGUGUCCAUCUAAAACCCUCUGAAGACCACCUCAUGGGGAAAAUAAAACAAAACUCCCACGGUUCCACCGGUUCAAGAGUGAGGAGAGUGGGAAGGAGAGAAAGAAAAAGAAAGGGAAGCGGAGAGGGAGAAAAAGAAAGACAAAGAAAAGAGAAAAUGCACAUAUUCUUUUUCUUCCUCAGUCAUUAUCCUGCUAUGUUAACUUCAAAUAAUUCUGAGGACAUUUUACCACAAAUAUUGGGCCAAGUUCAUGUAUCUUAUAGAACAAUCAGGGAAAAACAGAACAUUUAUUUCUGAGCACCUGGAAGGCCACACAUCGCUCAGGAUGGGAUACUCAAUGCAAUUUGCUUUAUUUUCCUUUGUUCCUACAUUUUCUAAAGUUCAGAUUCAAUUAAAUUCAAGGGGACAACGGUCAGAUAACAGAAAACCAAAAAAAAAAAAAAA
rnacentral:lncRNA from 1 species